ACGCAUGUGCGCGGUGCAUAGUGGGAGUAUCCGAGCGAUGCUGAAUCAGUGCAGGAGCGGAGGAGCCGAGGAGGCUGAAAAUGGUGCAGCAUCAACAAGGGAAAAAGUCGCAGCGGCCGCGCCAACGGAACUAUGCGGCUCUCCUUAAACUCUCACUUUGAGAUUUUACUCCGUCGACAGAAGAACAGGUAAAUGGCAGGGUUUGGUAAAGUGCUGGCCAGCCGAUGCAGUGCGUAGGGCCAGGUGUCCAAGGCGACGAAAACAUGAACGGGGCGGGGGAGCAGGUCGACAUCCUGCCCUCCAACUGCUUGGUAAAAGAGCGCUGGAAAGUGCUGAAGAAGAUUGGGGGUGGAGGAUUCGGGGAGAUCUAUGAGGCCUUUGACCUGUUGACACGGGAGAAUGUGGCUCUUAAGGUGGAAUCCGCCCAACAGCCAAAACAAGUGUUAAAGAUGGAGGUUGCUGUGCUAAAGAAACUACAAGGAAAGAAUCAUGUUUGCAAAUUUAUUGGAUGUGGAAGAAAUGACAAGUUCAAUUACGUGGUCAUGCAACUGCAGGAAAGGAAUCUCGCUGAUCUCAGGAGGAGUCAGCCUAGAGGGACGUUCAGUAUGAGCACGACUUUACGGUUGGGGAAACAGAUUCUGGAGUCUAUUGAAGCCAUUCACUCUGUGGGCUUCCUGCACAGAGACAUUAAACCUUCUAAUUUUGCCAUGGGCCGAUUGCCAUCUACCUGUAGGAAGUGUUACAUGCUGGAUUUUGGUUUGGCACGACAGUACACUAAUACGAAUGGGGAGGUGCGGCCUCCCAGGACAGUGGCUGGGUUCAGAGGGACAGUACGCUACGCGUCCAUUAAUGCUCAUAAAAACAAGGAAAUGGGUCGUCAUGAUGAUUUGUGGUCAUUGUUUUACAUGCUGGUAGAGUUUACUGUUGGACAGUUACCAUGGCGUAAGAUAAAAGAUAAGGAGCAGGUAGGACAGAUUAAAGAGCGCUAUGAGCACAGGAUGCUGUUGAAACACAUGCCUGCUGAGUUUCAUAUCUUCUAUGACCAUGUGCUGGAUUUAGAUUACUACACCAAGCCUGAUUAUCAGUUGCUAAUGACAGUAUUUGAGAACAGCAUGAAAGAGAGGGUGAUAACAGAAAAUGAGCCUUAUGACUGGGAAAAAUCUGGAACAGAUAUGGCCCUCCCCACCAGCACACACACGCCACCACAACAAAACACACGGCAAACUGCUGCCAUCGUGGGGGUGGUGAAUGUGACACCAGUACCUGGUGAAUUACCGAGGGAAAACACUGAUGAUGUUCUGCAAGAUGAACAUCUGAGUGACCAAGAGAACGCUCCACCUGCUUUGAUACCCAGCAGGCCAAGCGAACCUCCUCCAGCCCCACCUGCUGGUGAAGGAUGGGAUGAAACUGACUUCAACCGUAACAAACUCAGGAUCAGCAUCAGUAAGGAGCCUGCAGGAGGAGGGAGGUCCGUUUCCCCAGCAAAGGGUGGAGAAGCAGAAGCUCAGGCCCGUCCUCUAAGGUACCGAAGAGUCAAUAGCCCAGAAUCUGACCGCCUGUCUGCUGCAGAGGAUAGAGGCGAUGCCGCAGAUAAACGCUCUCGUUUGGACAUGCUGGGUUCUCCAUCCAGGCACGUCUACUCUUCCCAGCCUGCUCAGAUGCUCUCUUUAGAAGCUGGACAGGGAGAACGAUUGGCUGGUGGCCACCAUGAUGUCUCUGCAGAUGGUGACCAGGAAGCCCACAGCAAUGCCUUUAUCCGCUCAGUCCCGUUGGCAGAGGAGGAGGACUUUGACAGCAGGGAGUGGGUGAUGAUUGACAAAGAAACAGAGUUGAAAGACUUCCAUCCUGGGGCAGAGCCCACCACCUCAGGCACCACGGAUGAGGAACCAGAGGAAUUACGCCCCCUUGAGGACCACGAGGAGAGGAGAAGGAAAGGGCAUAUGCAUGGGAUGGGUGAAGCUGAGGCUGUGGUACGACCAAAAACGCAACGUGGGAUGAUGAUUGUAGCAGAGGAGGAGGGGGCGGGACCAAGCCCCGCCCAUUCACCUUGUCACUCGUUGCCUCAUACCUGCCCCAGAAGGAGGGAGUCAGAACCAUUUGGACCUGAAGGACCGGCUGCAGUGGCUGAACCUUCACCUUCCUCUCAGACCCGUCUGAAGCGAGUCGACUUUGUGUCUGGUGUGUUGAUGUUUGAUGAUUUGAGAGAAGAGGGUGCGAAGACUGGAGGCUCCGGCAGUGAUGGAAGCCCUCGGAGUAGCGAGGGAAGCCCAGAGGGCGCUGCAUCCACUCUACUCGCCCCGGCCCACCGGGACCACGACCAGGAAGAGGUCUCACGCACGCUUGUGCUUGUGUCUGCUGGAAAUGGGCAGGUUUCACCUGGAGAUGCACAGGGAACUCUCGCCGCGUUGACACCGCAGGGAGAGCGACCCGUGCCAGAUGAAUCCGAACCCAUGCCUUUCUCCUCUUUCGUUAAGUCAGAGCCCAGGCCUAUUGUCAUGACAACUGCAGCUGUUAUCACUAGUGGUUCUUCCUCACCGCCAUUCACCAAGGUGGAACGCACUUUUAUUCACAUUGCUGAGACGACGCAUCUCAAUGUCAUGACAGCCAGACACCGUCCGCCUGGACUGGAUGAGCUGAUGUCUACUGAGCGUGAGGAGACGGGUGGAAAGAAAGAGGAGAGGGAAAGGGUCAGUGAACGAGAGCAAAAGGAAAGUGAGGGGAUUUCAUUAAAAAGAGAAGAGGAUGAGGGGGAAAAGGAAGAGGGUGAAGCUGAAGAAAAAGUAAAUAAGAGUGACAGAGAGAAGGCAGAGGCUUUGAUUUUAGCUGAGUCACAUGACCAGCCAGAGACUACACUUAUUGAGGAAGAAGAAGUCUCCAAAGAAGCCAAAAUGGAAGGGAGACCAAAUGGGUUUGCACCAGAAGUAGAGCAGCAAAGGGAACAGGAGCAGAAAGAGAGUCUGUCAGUAACACCUGAACAACACAGAAAUGCAGAGGUGGAGGAUGAGAAGGAUAUGUCUCCACCAGAGGCGGAGUCACCUGAGAGGAAGCCACUCCCGCAGAGGCGGAGCCGUAUCCCUGUGCUUAUGUCAGAGGAGGAAACAGGCUCAGACAAGUCCUCACAGAUGAGUCAAGAGCAGUUGCAGCGAACUCGCAAAAGCCGACAACAACAGCUGGCUCGUCUUGUCCUGGAGCGUAAACAAACCCACCUGAAUCGUUCUCGCUCCGCUUCCUCACACUCCCCGACACUCUCAACCACUGCAUCUGAAGAUGAAGCCCACCAAUCAGACGACUCGGCGAGAGGAGAGAGAGGAGCAGAUGGGAGGAUUAGGAGCAGGAUCCCUCGUCCAGUCACACCUAUCAUGGGGCCAUCUGACCAGCUAGAGGGCACGACCCUUCCACAAACCCAGAGAUCUGUGUCUUUCAUUCAGUACAGAACCAACAGUUCUAUCAAUCCCAAGAUUCAAAAAUCUGCAAGUCUGCACACAAAUAUCCAUCAGCAGCCGCCUAAACCUCAGCUCCGUCCCUCUAAAACACUUCCACCCCGUCCUCCAUCUUCAGGCCCCUCCCACUCACAGGCAAGUCGGACCGCCACACGUACCAUUACUCGUACCUCAGCACUUUAUGCCACCCGGAGCAUCAGCACGUACGCCACCUCUCGCACCGACAGCCCUUCGCCUCAGCGCAUUCGCCGACAGCCUGCAGCCAAUGAAAUGCAACGACAGCCCAAACCUCCUUUCCCUUCACAGUCCAAAUCCAAACCUCAGGAUUCCACCCCCAAAAAGAGCAAAACCCACCCAUCAACCUCAUCGCAAACGGCAAAGAAAGAUCCAAUGGAAUCAAAGACUAAAACAAGAUAAUUAAGACUUCAUUCAUGCAGGUGUUCUUCGUCCUCAGCAUCAUCAUCAUCACAAUCACUCUCUUAAUCAUCAGUGUUGGACUGUACUUCUCAUUAAACACAACAAACUCAACCAGACAAAAUGGAUGGAUGUGUUCGUCAUUCAGCCAAGUGACUGCAGCAGCUACGAAAUACCUCUAAUGAGGAGAACCUCUGACAUUUGUGAGGGAGAGUUGUCAUUAAUGAAGUGUGUUGGACAGAUGAACACACCUCAUAUGCCUUAAACCUGCAAAGGAAAUAAUUGCUGUCAUCACAACAAAGCUUCCACAGGCUCUAUCCUCCUGUUCACGACGCAAAUGCCACUAUCAAGUUCAAUAAUACAACCAAUCUCAUUGUACACAUUAGAAGCGGAUUCUACUGCAGCUUUAAAGCUUUUAAAUACAUUACACUACAUGCUAUUUAUUUUAAUUGAAUAUCACUUCCAAAACAUACAUUUUUGAACCAACAUCUCAAUAUCAGAAUCUGGAAAAUAUAGCUUUAUCGAAAUAAAAAAAUAAAAAAAUCCCAAAUGUACAUAUUACUCAACUAGUUGGUGUUUGGGACAGACUUUUUCUGUCAACUUCUGCCGUCAAUUUGUGUGUGCUAAAAUUUGUAUUAAUCUCAAAUAAUAAUAAUAAUAAUAGUCAUUUGCACCAAGACUCUGUGGUUCUGUGAAAAACAUGCAGAAACAAAUCAUAAGUCUACACGGAACUAAAAUGGGUAACGUUGCUGCUACAGUUUGAUGUCAAUCAUACAAUCAUCUUGGCCCCACCUGCUGUUUCUGAUUGGGUCAAUCCAUCUGUGACACUCAUUUGCUAAAUUUACUUGUAACCAGUUCCCGGACCAGCAGCAUCCAUUUGGAAAUGCUCGUCCGCUUCUGUUUAAUGUCUUUUGCAAAACUGUAGAUAAUGUAAGCACUACUUUUGAAAAACAAAGUUAUAUUUUUGUUCCAAAGAACAACGUAGUCUACAAAAAUUAUUAAUGGAUAAAAUAGGACUAACUUAGUUGCAUUUGUCUCAGUCUCAGGCUGAAAAUGCACCAUUCUGAUCUGUAUGCAAACUUUACAGUUCAAAGAAUGCUUGAGGAAGCUAAAUGAAGGUCGAAGAGAACAUGAAAGCUUCUUAAAAUCUGACAUACCAAGGAGAAUAAAGCAGCAGGAACCAAUAAUGUGUUUAAAAGAAGCAUGUCUGGGGUUUUUAAAUGUACUCUAGGAUGUUAUUUUUAUGCAGUACUGCUAUUCCUGAGUGUCCACAGCAUGUGUUCAAAAACUGGUAAUCUGACGUGGAGUUCAAAUGACUAAGGUGCUAUCAUGCCUGCUGUAGUCAUUGGUGUUUUUUUUUCUGUCCUAUGCUUGGAUUAAAACCCAAACAUCCAUGAAGAUUGUCAUAUCAACGGAAGAGAAAAUUGUCCUUAGUGCACAGUGUUAUUUGUGAGUAAAGUUAAAGGGAGUGCUUCAUUUGGACCAUGCCCACUGCAGAACCAUUGCAUGCUGUUGUUUGGAUGAAAUCACAGGAAAAUACUCUCUGUGGUAUUUUCCAGAAUGUUCCAUCUGCGGAGAGCCCUGAAGACUCUCUCUGCUCUUAAUACUGACGAGAUUCGAGGAAGGACACCUCCUCCUGAAAAACUGCAAAGUGGAUGUUCUGCAUAGAGAAUCUGCAUAUCCUGGCUGUGGUGAAAGUGAGAGGAAAUAAGUAUCAUCUGUAUAAAAAUGGAGCAAUAACAGAGAAGCUAGAACACUAUGUAAUCACAUCAUCUUAGAUCUUAGUGUCCUUCAGGCUAGUUCAGGGCUGGAUGUUUCUGUUACCCAUGCGACCCUAAAGGUCAUUAAUAAUGGUGGGAAUACAGUAGCAGCUUCUAGAAAUGUACUGCAGUUCAAAAGUUUGGGGUUGGUGAGAUUACAUUUUUUUUUAGCUCAUUCUUACCAAGACUGCAUUUAUUUGAUCAGAAACCCUGUAAAAACAGUAACCGUUCUUUAUUUUAAUAU